rnacentral:lncRNA from 1 species
GUCUGACAAAGCCAGUAAAAUCCAAGAUGAGGUAACGUGUGUGGUAACAGCCUGAAUGUGAUUGCAGCAGAGUUCAUCAUGUAUAAAAGCAGGUGCAACCAGGUCACAGGCAGACAUUUUCCUCAAUUCUCACUGGAAAGCAUCAACACCGCAAAGAGAAGCCAUGAAGCCAGUGAUCGUGCUGUACGUUGCGUUGAUAAUGAUUGCACUGGUGUGCAAUACUGUGUGCAACAAUGCUUAUGCUAGAGAAUGUCUCUCUUCCGGUGGAAUAUGUAAGGCGUCAUGUCCAUGUCGAGUUCCAGACCCAACUAAACACUGUGGGGGUCCUAAAACUAAUGUGUACGUAUAAAUCUAUAGACUGGUUUUCAUCCAUAGACAUCUUUGGUCCUUUUACUGUGUGCAUGUGACUUGUGGCAUGAAAUGAUAUUUCUUUUGUCAGAUGCUGUGUUAAAAAAAGCUGGUGAAGAACAUCCGUGAAGGAAGACUGUGUGGAUCAACCAACAUGCCUUAUUGUUUUUUUUCUUCUUCCAUUUAAGUUUACACAAGACAUGGAGUAAUCAUGAUUUGUGUUUAAGCCUGUUUGAUGCCAGUUUGAAUAAAAUCAAAUUUCACAACUAUGAGUAUCUGUGA